GAUGAACGCUGGCGGCGUGCCUAAUACAUGCAAGUCGAGCGAACAGACGAGGAGCUUGCUCCUCUGACGUUAGCGGCGGACGGGUGAGUAACACGUGGAUAACCUACCUAUAAGACUGGGAUAACUUCGGGAAACCGGAGCUAAUACCGGAUAAUAUAUUGAACCGCAUGGUUCAAUAGUGAAAGACGGUUUUGCUGUCACUUAUAGAUGGAUCCGCGCCGCAUUAGCUAGUUGGUAAGGUAACGGCUUACCAAGGCAACGAUGCGUAGCCGACCUGAGAGGGUGAUGGGCCACACGGAAACUGAGACACGGCCCAGACCCCUAGGGGGGGCAGCAGUAGGAAAUCUUCCGAAAUGGGCGAAAGCCUAACGGAGCAACGCCGCGUGAGUAAUAAGGGUCUGCGGAUCGUAAAACUCUGUUAUUAGGAAAGAACAAAUGUGUAAGUAACUAUGCACGUCUGAACGUUACCAAAUCGAAAGGCCACGGCUACUACGUG
rnacentral:rRNA from 1 species